CCCACAGGCAGCUGAAUACACCGGCCCUUUGUCAGACUUGCUCAAGAAGAAUGUUCCCGAACCGUUGGCUUGGAGUGAAGACUUGUUGGUGCGGUUCAAACACCUCAAGGAUAAGAUGGUCUCGCCACCAGUGCUUCGUCUGCCGAACCCGGAUCUGAUCUUCGUUCUGAGGACCGAUGCCUCCAGCCGCGGGAUUGGAGCAGUCCUUCUGCAGUACUACAGCGACUGUCCACAUCCCGUCGCCUAUGCCAGUCGGAAGUUACUCGACCGUGAAACAAGGUACUCCACGAUUGAACGAGAGUGCCUUGCAGUCAUCUUCGCCAUCAACAGGUUUGACUUCUACCUACGCGCAGAUUCUUGUUUGGGGGGCCGUGUGAGGGGUAACUACGCCCUGCCGGCCUUGUUAAUCUGCCGGCCUCGUUCCGCCCUGGCUCCUCCUACUUCCGAGCCGACGUCAUAGCCCGGCUAGCGGGCUAAGGCAGACACCAGCUCACCACCACAGAGUGCACACCUCGCCUUCUCAACCUCACGCUGGUCCUUCGUCUCACUGGGAAAGCUGCGUGUCUGGGCUCCUUGCUGCUUCUCCCCUGGCUGUACCGCCCGACCAAGUCACCACUGCUGUCUCCCACUGCAUUCCAGCCUAUGGACUUCACUUCCCUGGCCUUUAGCUGAGAGGAUUACAACCGGUGCACCCAACCCCGGUGACUUAGCAGGCCAACCCCUUUUGCACACUACAGUGGUUUGAUUACUUUGUGGUCAAUUUGUUGUCUUUGUUUGUGUUAAUACACUCACCCUUAUUUUGUGCUGUUUUCCUCUCCAAAGGGCUAUUAGGCAUUCCUGGCUAUUACAUCUUAAUAUUGAGGGCGAGAGAUCGUGGCCUCCC